rnacentral:rRNA from 1 species
CACGGGGGGGAGCAAGCGUUGUUCGGAAUCACUGGGCGUAAAGGGCGUGUAGGCGGUUCGGUAAGUGGAAUGUGAAAUGCUCCGGCUCACCCGGAGUACUGCAUCCCAAACUGCCGAGCUUGAGUAUGGGAGAGGAUGAGGGAAUUCCUGGUGUAGCGGUGAAAUGCGUAGAUAUCAGGAGGAACACCGGUGGCGAAGGCGCUCAUCUGGCCCAAUACUGACGCUGAGGCGCGAAAGCUAGGGGAGCAAACGGG